AUGGAUUGUUGUGUGAGAUAUUUCAUUAGUCUUGUCACAUAGAAUUUCACGUAAAAAUACUUAAAAUCCAGUUAGAUCCAGCUCAUUGUCAGUCCGUUGGACUAUGGGCUCCCCAAGGGCAAGGACCAUGCCUAAUUUAUCAUCUUGAACCCUAUUAAUGGUGCUGGGAACAUAGGAGGUCCUGAUUAAAUAACCAAUACACGGAACUUAGCUGACCUCAAAGAGAGGUACUAACCAGACAGAGCUAACAAGGAGCGACCUCUUGGUAGAGGUUAGCAGCAUCACACAGAUGUACAUGGCCAGAAUGUACGGUCUCAACUGAGUCUGAAUGCCAGCUCUUCCACUUACUACCUGGGUGACCUCUUUAAGUUACUUAUCCUUUCUGAGCCUCAAUUUUUCCAUUCAUAAAAUGGCUUUAUUAAUGUAUCCACUGCAUUUGGUAAUUGACAGUUAAAUACAACUGGUAUUAGAAAUCAAUUAUUUCAAUAGCCCCCCCCAAAAAAAUGUCUUUUUAGAUUUUAAAAAAUUUUUCCCAAAAAAUUGAGGUACAGUUUCUAUACAGGUUUGAACAUUCUGGGCCAAUUCAAAACAAAACAAAACAGUAAAGAAACCACCUUUCUAGGCAAUAUGUCUUGAGUGGGUUUCCCCACUAAUUUCCAUGAAUCCCUCAUCUACAUUGAGUUUCUGACUGUUCCUAGUGUUGGUGAAACCCACUAGUAAAGAGCAUGUAAGAAAAAAGGAAGCUAACAUAUGGGGGGGGGGGCUGUCUGGUGACCUUUAACCUUUUUCUUUUCAUCCAUUAUGACAGGAUGAGCUAUGCUACUGAGAAACUAAAGCAGCACUGUUGAAGUUGCCUUUGGCAAAUUCUACUAGCAUUUUUUUGGCAAGUGCCCCAGAGGCAUGCUGGUCUCAAUUUACACUGAUUUCUAAAGUAAAUUUUACUACGAAAUUAGUUUUCCCUACCAUUCUCAAAAAGUAACCUUCAAAGGAAUUCUACAGAGCAGAAUGUUUAAGAACCUGGGAUAUGUGGCCUUUUCAAUCUGAUUUCAAAUCCCCUAUUUUUCUUACUGGCUGAGGGCUUGGACUAGUCACUUAACUUCCUUGAGUUACAGGUUUCCUCUCUCUGAAAGCAUGGUAGUAAUCACAGCUACUUGGAGGUUUUUAUGGAGAUUAAAAGAGAAAUCUCACAAAAAUUGCCAUGGGCAAUUUGUUGUACAUAGUAUGUUUUCAAUAAAUAAAUCAUGUUAUUAAUUAUCACACUGGAUAGCUGUGAUGUCUUAAAAUAAACAGCAAUUAUCCCAAGAGAAAUGUUCAGUGAGGAUACUAGCUGUUAAGAAGAAAUAAGUUUCUGUUUUUCUGAGUCCCACACAGAAUGGAGACGAGCACUACCUCUGACUUCACCAUUUUUCUUGCAUCCGCACUUGCGAGUCAAGAGACUGCAUGGAACGUUUUGAAAUGAAAAGGUAGUAUGAAGAUGGAUAAGAAGGAGAAUGCACAUCAAAUAGUGUGUGCUGUGUCUGGCAGAUAGCAAACACCAACUGUAAGUGCCAUGCCGUAAUUUUCUGUGUUGGAUUGAAUUCUUCACUAGUCUGGGCAUCGAUACCUCUGCCUUCACCCAAGUGAGGCUGCUUCACUGCCUCUGAACUUCAGGCUGGACCAUCUAACUUGUGUUGGCUAACAUGCACAAAGCUACCCUUCUACCCCACAUUUUCAUCAGACCAUAGAUUCCAGUGAGGAUCCUCACACUUCAAAAGCAUCAAGAUCACCAGUGAAGAAAAUGGAGAUUCCUGCCAAUAUAGAUUGAGCUUGAGAAUGGCUAGUCCAGCACCUUCAAAGAACUGGAACCCUGUUCAACAACUUGACUACAACCUCAUGAGAGGUCCUGAACCAGAAUCAUCCAGCGAAGUCACUCGUGGAUUCUUGAUUCUCAAGAGCUUUGUGAGACUGAGAUCACAAGUAUGCAGAAAGGCAGGCAGAGAGAAAGUGGGAAGCAGGAUCCUCAACGAGCAGAGAGCCUGAUGCAGGAUCUUGUGCCAUAAGAUCCAGGACCCUGAGAUCUUGACCCAAGCCGAAGGCAGAGGCUUAACCCACUGAGCCACCCAGGGAUGAAUGAUAUGCUAAGAAUGCAGCAUAAUUCUAAUGGAUAAAGGGAGUACCUUUGCCGGGAAUGACCAGCGAUCCCUGUACCAACGGAUGAAAGAUUACUCCAAACUCUGCUGUAAGAAAGAGGGGAAGGCAAGAGGGUCAAUGCUCAGAGUCGAAGACCCUUGCUCUUCCUUGCUGCUGCUUUUACUGGUCCUUCCGGAUAAUCACAAAUCCUUAUCACUGUUUCUCAAGCACGUGAUGUGUGACAAGGGGUCUUACUGAAGCUAGUAGGAAAGAUACAAUAUGCUAAUCUGCGUGUUCUACAAGUUCUGCUAAACACAACCUAAGGGACAAUGCCUACACUGCUUAGAUCCCAGGGCUGCCAUUCUGGCUAAGAAAGCUCUGGGGAAGGCAACUCCCCUAGACAUUCCUAUGGCCGAGUGGUCACGCAGGCCUCAGCAUUCCAAAGGCCUAUGCCUUUCUCCAAAACCUUCCUUGCCCUAAGUGGCCUCUGGUAUUCUGGAUGAUUCCAUGCUCUACAAGAACCCCACCAUGCCUUCACCUGUCUUCCAUCAUCACUGGGCCCCACUCAGCACCAGCUCCCCAGCAGGCUGUGCCAAGCUUAGGAAUUCGUCUUCCCACUUACGUGGAAAUUGAGAGCAGUGCUACCCUAUAUGCUGUGAUUAUACAGUAUGAAUGGGUUUCUGUUUUCUGUUUUUGGUUAGAAUCUCUUCUUAUGGAUCUGUCUGUACCUGAAAAACAGAUUUUAAUUAGCUGCCAUUAUCCUAUGAACUGGAAAACCCACUCUUAGGAGUUUUGAAACUUAAUGAACCUAAAGAUUUGCUCAUAAUCAACCUUGGAUAUUAAAGAAUGAAACAUUUUAUUGGAAAAAAGGAUGACAAAUCAGAUACCUCUUAGCAUCAAAAAUGAAAACAAUAGCAACAAGCUAACUUUUCCAAUUUCUUUUUAUGUUUCCUCAUUUGAUUAUUAGAGUGGGAAAAAAAUGACACGAUAGGAAAGGUGUGGGCAAAAAAAAAAAAAAAACCUUUGUGAACAUUUUUGAAUAAUAAAUAAUGCCACUUGAUG